rnacentral:rRNA from 7 species
CGUAUCACCCAAGACAACUUUACGGAGUUGACGAUUGACGGAGCGAAGCGACGUCAAAGCGUUCAUUAAAGUCGAGUUGGCUUAGGGAUACGUUCGUUGGGUAGGGGAGCGUUCUGUAAGCCUGUGAAGGUGUGUCGUGAGGCAUGCUGGAGGUAUCAGAAGUGCGAAUGCUGACAUAAGUAACGAUAAAGCGGGUGAAAAGCCCGCUCGCCGGAAGACCAAGGGUUCCUGUCCAACGUUAAUCGGGGCAGGGUGAGUCGACCCCUAAGGCGAGGCCGAAAGGCGUAGUCGAUGGGAAACGGGUUAAUAUUCCCGUACUUGGUGUUACUGCGAAGGGGGGACGGAGAAGGCUAUGUUGGCCGGGCGACGGUUGUCCCGGUUUAAGCGUGUAGGUGUGUGUUCCAGGUAAAUCCGGUUCACUUUAACACUGAGGCGUGACGACGAGGCACUACGGUGCUGAAGCAACAAAUGCCCUGCUUCCAGGAAAAGCCUCUAAGCAUCAGGUAACACGAAAUCGUACCCCAAACCGACACAGGUGGUCAGGUAGAGAAUACCAAGGCGCUUGAGAGAACUCGGGUGAAGGAACUAGGCAAAAUGGUGCCGUAACUUCGGGAGAAGGCACGCUGACACGUAGGUGAAGUGAUUUACUCAUGGAGCUGAAGUCAGUCGAAGAUACCAGCUGGCUGCAACUGUUUAUUAAAAACACAGCACUGUGCAAACACGAAAGUGGACGUAUACGGUGUGACGCCUGCCCGGUGCCGGAA